rnacentral:rRNA from 1 species
GAUGAACGCUGGCGGCGUGCCUAAUACAUGCAAGUCGAGCGAAUGGAUUAAGAGCUUGCUCUUAUGAAGUUAGCGGCGGACGGGUGAGUAACACGUGGGUAACCUGCCCAUAAGACUGGGAUAACUCCGGGAAACCGGGGCUAAUACCGGAUAACAUUUUGAACCGCAUGGUUCGAAAUUGAAAGGCGGCUUCGGCUGUCACUGAUGGAUGGACCCGCGUCGCAUUAGCUAGUUGGUGAGGUAACGGCCCACCAAGGCAACGACGCGUAGCCGGCCUGAGAGGGUGAUCGGCCACACGGGGACUGACACACGGCCCAGACUCCUACGGGAGGCAGCAGUAGGGAAUCUUCCGCAAUGGACGAAAGUCUGACGGAGCAACGCCGCGUGAGUGAUGAAGGCUUUCGGGUCGUAAAACUCUGUUGUUAGGGAAGAACAAGUGCUAGUUGAAUAGGCUGGCACCUUGACGGUACCUAACCAGAAAGCCACGGCUAACUACGUGCCAGCAGCCGCCGUAA